CUUGAGGCUUCUGGAGCUGGGAAUUGAUAUUUUGGAAUUGAAAUUGGACUCUCUCCCGUCAGCUUCGGAUCUUUCCAUAUACUCCACCACACGCGGCUUUCCAUCUCCUUCUCCUUCAAUUUCUUCAAAUUCUCCCUCUCUCUCGCUCUGUCGAACACCUUCCUUGCAAUCAACCUCUCGGUCUCUUCACAGGAAAGAAGAAGAAGAAGAAGAAGAAGAGGAAAAGGAAAGGGGGUUACACACCAGUGUACAUGGAUGAAAUUUCUCGGAAAAGGUCUGUGGGUGGGCUUCCAGUCUCUAGAAAGGGAUCAAGUCUUGUUUUGAGAGAUACAGCGGACAAUAGGGACCAAAAUGCUCAGUUUUGCAAUCGCCUUGGGUGCAGUGGCAGGCUUAAAUCCAUGAGAAGUACACAAUCUGGCUAUCUGGAAAAACCCAAAUCUCAGAGGCCAUUAUUCCGUUCAUCCUCAAAUGGCAAGGAAAUAAUUGGAAGUUCAUCUAGGACUUGCUCCAUGGUUAGCAACUCAAGAAAAUAUUUCCUGGCAUCUCGGAAGAAAACACCUUCUCAAAUGGAAACUGACUCAUCUGAAUCUAGCAGUGUUCAGGAUGAGUCAGAUGCUUUGGAACUAUCACCCUCUGGAAAGAUUGAAACAGGCCUUCCCCCUCAACUGCUAGAUGCUGAUUCUGGUGAUGUUACACUGAUGGAAGUAGGGAGUUCUAGUGUUACGUCGAACACAAGACCUCGGAAGAAUAUUCAUCAAAAAUCUAGAUUGGGCAACCAGGAAACUACAAUUGGUUCCUCUGUUUCACUGGCAUCUAGAAGCACACCCCAAGGAGGAAGAUAUGGUGCUAAUGCAAGUAGGUAUAAUCUAAGAAAUCUGAGGUGCAAUUCAAUAUCUGAUGUUAUCCCACCAGGUUUUUCAUCAUCAGAAACAAGCCUCAGCAGGGGGAAGGACACUCUAAAAAAGAUUAAUCCUGAAGGAGGAAGUAGCUCCUCCGCUAAGGGGAAAAAGAUAAGUGGACUGUCAUCAUUGGAGGAGAAACGGAUUUCCAGUUCUAGUCAUGGCAUCUCAAUUUCUGAUUCAAGAAGACCCAGAAAUUGGCUUCCUAGCAACAGGGAUAAUAAUAUUGGAUCAGUUAGAACUCGCAGAUCAAUUAAUGAUAACGCCAGGGUGAGGCUCUCUAACCCAAGAAAUUUGAAUAAUUUAUCAUCAACCGUGUCUCCUGUUGUGAUUCCACAUGGAAUAGCUGGCAGUGCCAAUGCUCCUAGUUUAUCACACCAAUUCUCUGCAGAAAGUUCUGCAACUCAGCCUAAUUCUUGCAGCCAACCGAGUAGUAGGAGUGAGAAUGUACGUAAUAUAAUGUCAUUUGGUCCUGCAGAGGUUGGCUUCACCCGCACUUCAAUGAAUCGGGAUGCCAUGCAUCAUUAUAGCAUGGAUGGGAUUGCAGAGGUAUUGUUGGCACUCGAGAGGAUUGAACAAGAUGAAAUAACAUAUGAGCAAUUACUUAUUCUUCAGACAAAUUUGUUCCUCAAUGGAUUAGCCUUCCAUGAUCAGCAUAGGGACUUGAGACUAGAUAUCGAGAACAUGUCAUAUGAGGAAUUAUUAGAUCUUGAAGAGAGGAUGGGCACAGUCAGCACAGCUCUUUCAGAAGAAGCAUUGUCUAAAUGCCUCAGAAGAAGCAUAUAUCAGUGUGCAUCUCCCGAGACAGAAGUCAUUGGCUGUAGUGGGGAUUAUGACGACAUUAAAUGCAGCAUCUGUCAGGAAGAGUAUUCAGAUGGAGAUGAAGUGGGGAGACUGCAAUGCGAGCAUAGGUUUCAUGUGGUCUGCAUACAACAAUGGCUGCAGCUGAAGAACUGGUGCCCUAUCUGCAAAGCUUCGGCCGCAACCUCAGCUUAAAAAUUCAAACCCGGCUCUUCUGGGAAGACUGACCUCUUUGUACAAGUCUCUGCAGGUGAUUCAGGUAAGCGAGCAUACCAGACUCGCAGAUAGAGGGGUUUCAGUACUGCCCUGUCAGAGAGAGAGAGUGAGUAUAUUUUUGGGAAUAUUUUUGUAUACCCCUCACCGGUUGAGGAAAUUGGGGAAACAGUGAUAUGUAUAUAUUUUGGGGAAACAUGUUAGCACUCUGGUAUUGUAUUGUAUUUAUUCACAUAUGGUUAUGUUUAUAUGAUUUCUGCU